ensembl:lncRNA
GCUCGAUCCCAGAACACCGGGAUCACGCCCUGAGCCGAAGGCAGACGCUUAACGACUGAGCCACCCAGGCGCCCCUAAAGAUUUUAUUUUUUAAGUAAUCUCUACACCCAGAUGGGACUCGAACUCACAACCCCGAGAUCAAGAGUCACAUGCUCCCCCAACUGAGUCAGCCAGGUGUCCCUUGUCUGUACUUCUGUGGUUGACCAUCUCUAAGUAAAUACGUGCUUUCUACUUGAACUAACCUAAUACGUUUCUCGACACAGGAUUUUCAAAGCCUCAGGAGCAUCAGUUUGCAAAUCCCCAGCAGUCUCACAGGGGAGAAGCAAUAGGGAAACGUGCAACGCAACAGCUACAGCAUGAGAUCAGCAAUAAUGAUGCACCCUGGCAGCUCCCAACCCCCAAUUAUGUCAUGCUGUACCUGAGUUGAGUGGGCUGUGUGUCACUUCCUCUUUGAAGCCGUCCCUGAUCCAUGCACCCCAAACUUCUCCUGCUUGCCCCCACUGGGCCUUGUACGACCCCUCACGUUUGACCUGUCCAUAUCGUUGGCUUUUACUUCAUGUCCCUGGCCGCACAGCCAAGUCCUCAAGAGUGGGAGUCAGUGCUGCAUCACCUUUACCCCCAUCAACGGCCACAGCCACUCUCCAGAGAAUGUGCUCAGAAAUGUGGAGAGAACAAAUACGUGGGUUUUCUAGAAUCCUGGCUUUAUUCUCAAAAUCCCCCUUAGCACAUUUACCCUGGAGCUACUUGCCAUCUAGAACAAGGAUGAAUCGAGCCUUUUCAAUUUUCUAGUAAAGGCACAGGUGAUAAAAAUACUGGUACUAAUUCCCAAAGAAACGGGAGGAAGCUAGGAAGUAGAGACGUGUGCGUGGGUGCAUUCACGAUGGGACAGAAAGCAGAUGAAUGGGAGACAGAGUCUCUGAGGGGUCAUGGAGUGAAUGGGAACCGUGCAAACAAGAAUUCUGACACGAGUGGCAACAUUUCCUCAUAUUGCAGCCGCUGACCCAAGAACAGAAGUGCUGGCGCUGAACGACCUUCCUCCCCUGGGCUUCCUUCCAUCCCAGGCUGCCUGGCUUCUGCUGCCCAAACAAGGUCUCCAGCUUCAGCUCUUCUCCCGGCCUUUCCUAAACAUGCGUGCCCUGGCCCACCUUCCCAGGACUCUGUGUCAGGCGACAGCCAGCCACUGUGCACACCAUGUUAACAGCGUGGACUUGAACUCUUCGCCCUGCUCGCCUGCCUGCCUCUCCAUCACCUCACUCAUGUAGAUGACGAGUCUGCGUGGGACCCAAUAUUGUCAAAGAAAGUCUGGAAUACCAGGCACACAGACCAACUUCAGGAUACCGAAAAUACCCUUGACCAUGUCUGAGCGAGGCGAAGUUCCCCUGAGUGAGGGACUGAAUAUACCAAAAGGUAACGGGGCCUGCGAAGGCCUCCUGGCACUCGCGUGCGCAGUCCCCUGGCAGACAAGACAGCGGACUGGCGGCGGUUUGUAAGUUGGGCUUUGUUUGAUAUGUGAGAGUAAAAACCGGGGAAUGUGGCCCACUUGCACUUUUGAAAUCCCUCCCUUCAUUAUAUUUGAAUUUCAUGUCUUUAUGCUUUGUUUCAAACUAAAUAUCAAAAGUCUCUCGUUUCUGUUAUCUCCCUGACAGUUCUUCAAUAUACUGUAUUUAAAACUCUCCGAGGACAAAAAAAAAUGCACUUUUCAAGUGAUGCUAGGAGCUUGCCACCCCCCGUCUGUCUUCAUUUCUGAAUCUCUGGGAUGCUUCAUAAAACAAAGGAGAAUGUACCAAAAGGUGCUUCUGUGCUAUUUUAAAUACGUACAGAGGUCUCCUCUGUCUUACAGAGAAAACAGUACAGACCCAGAUGUUUCGCAAGUCAUAUAAUUCAUACCUAAUGCUGACGGACCACUAACUGUAUCUACACAGACUCUAUCACACAUGGUACGUGUAAUCUCCAUGCGUGGGGAUUAAAGACAAUGGCAUUCUCCCUGUCAAAGUGCCCUCUCCUUACCUGCCAACCCCUCCA